CGAUGUGAGGGAGGUGCAGCCACACUCCUCUUCCCCCCCCGCCCGCCCUGUUCUACAGCGGGGCGGGGCCGUGGCGUAUCAGCGGCGGCGAUGAUAAGCGCUCGUGCCGCGGUCCCUGGCCGUCGCCCGAGGAGGGGGCCGGGCGCGAGUGGUGCUCGAGGCUGGAACCUCGCGCGGAGCGGGAGGCGGGCGCCUCAAAUCUUCACGCACAGGAGCAAGAAGAAUGAGAAAGAGAGCAGCCUAAAUGACUGACUAGUGAAGCUGAGGACCGAGAAGCUCCAUACCUGAUCUGUUAUCAGUUGACAAGAAAGCUCAACUCCAUUUCCAGAGGUGUUUUUACACUCAAUAUAAUAUUACAGAGACUCAUCCAUCCUAGAUUCCUGUUUCUAAAAGCUUUUAAGGCCACCUAAGGAUCUCUUAAAGAGCAGUAAUUGCCAUCUGCUGGUCAAGCCGGGAAUGGUCUUUGUCCACAAUGUGUUUCUUCAUCUGUAUGGCUAAAUUUGGAAAUGGAUUUGAGCAAAGGACACAGUACAACCGACAGCUGAGUCUACACACUAGGACAGAGGUGUGCACGUACUUCACUGUCUCACGCUAGAAAAGGAGGAGAAAAACUGUAGAGGAGAAGGGUGAAGCACAAAUGCAGUUCCUUCCUACCACAGAUGUUGCUGUUUAUUUACCCGUAUUUGGGGCAAUUAUAUGGACCACCCAUCCAGCAUGUAAGGGGUGAGUCUUACCUUUGGGAAAGUAACUCUAAAUCAUGUCCCCUCAGGUGAAAAGAACUCUUGAUGUGAACUGAGUGUGGUUGUUUUUUGUCUUGUGACAUAGGUGAAAAUUUGAAAUGGACAGAAGUAAAAAUGUCAAGGUAAAGCACUGUGCUUCUACUUAACUGAAUUUCUUUUUCUUCAACUUAUGAAACAUUAGCAUUGAUAUGUGCAUUACCAGCAUGUUAUACUGAAUAUAAAGGUAUGAAACGUUUCUGUGGUCACAAAUAACUUUCUUCUGUCCUCAGAGUUUUCAUUCAAUGGGAAGUUUUGGAUUUCAUUCUGAUUUGGAACAACACAAGGUUUGCAAAUGUUGCAAUUCCCAGAAAUUCCAUUUUCCUAACAGCUUGUUCCUCAUCACAGACUGACUGUGAAACACCAGUGUGUUUGUCUGGAAAAGGAAGGUUUGUGUCACUUACAAACAUUCAUCUUGUAGAUACCUUUGUUCAUACAGCUGCUAAUUCUUAGCCAUUCCACCAAGAUCUCCCCCUCAGCAGGAAGCUGGAGCGGCAGUGAGCUCACUUAGAUUUUCUGAUCCAUGGAGGCUGGAUCCAACAAUUCUUGUAUCCCACACCCAAACUAUCGAUCUAAAACAACAAACUACUUUAAUUGCACACGUACUUCUUGGCAAGCACAAAAUACAAAAGAGAAAUAACGAUUCUUCAAACAAAGAAACAGGAAUGCUUGUUCUCAUUAAGGGUUUCCCUUGAAUUUUACUCAAUAGCCAUAAGGAACAAGGUUCUCCAGGGCAGACUCUUCUGCAAUGUGUGGUUGCAAGUAAACAAGAGCCCUUGAAGGAUAAGAUCUUAAGGUAUCUUGUUUUUUGUUGUUUGUUUGUUUGUUUAUUAUUUUAGGGAGAAACUACAGGAAUGCAAGAAAGCCAUGUUCAGUCUCUGAAAAGCCACAUGCUACUUCAGUAUCUUAGUGAGGACUUUUUCUUUAUACUGAGUUUUUUUUACUAUGUCUAGCACAACAGGGUUCUGGGAUCCUUCUCAAAGGAACCCGGGUAUUGCUGUCCUACAAUAAAUAAAUAUUGUAAGCAUUUAAAACUUGCUAUUCUUGAACAUUGGACUGUGAUUUGGAUAAGAAUAGAAUAAGAUUUAAGACAAAUAUCCAACAAAUCUGCUAUAAAACAGACUGUUGAGUAAAUAUAAAACCAAGAAA